GAUUUCUUGAAGUAUAAUAAUAAAUUUAUUUUUAACUUUUAGGUUUGGGAGGUUCAUGUGAAGGUUUGUUACACAGGUAAACUCGUGUCAUAGGGGUUUAUUGUACAGAUUAUUUCAUCACCCAGGUAUAAAGCCCAGUACCCAAUAAUAAAUUAUAACAAAUCCCGGCACUUUGGGAGGCUGAGCCAGGCUGGUCUCAAACUCCUGACCU
rnacentral:lncRNA from 10 species